UAUGGGGAUUUAAAGUUCUGAUAUUUUUUUGAAUUUUUGACUUGGAAAUAGUUCACAGUUAAUUUUAAAUUGUUCAUUAUUGUUUGCCUUGUCCCUUGCGAUACAAAAAACUUUUUCUCUUCAAAUAGGACCAGGGGCGUUCCCUAGGGUCUACAAUGUACCUGUAUAAUGUGUUCAAAUUUAAUUUAUACUUCGACUCAGGUCAUUGUCUGGUGAUAUUUGAAUUAAUAGACACAAUAAAAGAUCGAAUUCAAAUUCUGAGUAAAUCAGGGGCGGUCUCAGAUGAGUGUAAUAUUAUUUCAAUUAAAUUAGGGAAUGCCCAUGGUCCUAUUUGAAGAUUUUUUUGUAUCGCAAGGGACAUGGCAAACAAUAUUGAACAAUUUAAAAUUAACUAUAAGCUAUUUCCAACUCAAAAAUUCAAAAAAAUAUCAGAACUUUAAAUCCCCAUAUCUCCG
rnacentral:lncRNA from 1 species